rnacentral:precursor_RNA from 8 species
AAUAUGGACCAUGUUUGUUACUUGUAGUUUACAGGAAUUUGGCCACUGCACUCUUUCAGAUAAGUUUGGUGCUGUGGCCAAAUUCCUGUAAACUUCAGUAAUUUAUUCAAUAAACAGCAGG